rnacentral:rRNA from 1 species
AGAGUUUGAUCCUGGCUCAGAACGAACGCUGGCGGCGUGCCUAACACAUGCAAGUCGAGCGCGAAUGGAGCAAUCCUAGUAGAGCGGCGCACGGGUGCGUAACACGUGGGUAAUCUGCCUCAGAGACUGGAAUAACCUGCCGAAAGGCAAGCUAAUACCAGAUAAGCCGACAGGCUCUUCGGAGCCCGACGGAAAAGGUG